AAGAUGAAACACUCCAGUAGAAAAUUAAGGUAUGUGACCUUGCAUGUCUUGAAGAAGGUUGCUAGCUAAAGUAAGGAUUUGUUCUAUUCCUUCAAUAUCAUUUUCAACGAUGAGCCGGUUUCUUGAUUUCCAGAUUUGCUAACACAUAAUCGCCAGCAUCUGAAAGUCACGAUUGUUGUUUCUCCGCCUCUUGAGCUUGCCUACACUUUCCGACCACGUUCGCUAGAAGGAGAAGGACCCAUCUCCACAAACCAACCCAGCGCCUACAGAGAGGGGAUAUUGUGUAGAUGUGGCGGUGGAGGUUCUCCAAAAUCGGGAGCUUCUCGUGCAAACAUCACCAGAGAAAAAAUUUGAUUUUUGGGAGUAGAGGCAUUUUCCAGAGCUCCAACCAUGUGUCUUUGUGCUGCAUCAAUUCGGGGCUGUAAUCAAUUGGAGAGUGAUAGAACAGGUUCCAUUGUUUGCUAGGCAUGAUUAGCUCAUUCACCCAUGCUACUUCCAUAAUCUGAUUGCUGAUGACUGAGCUAUGUGGGACAAGGAAAGGUUGGGAUGUAGCUACCCACGGAUCCUGGAAAACGCGAAUGCUGUUUCCGUUGCCCACCUUCCAGCAUAUGCUUUUUUCUAGAACUUUGCGGCCCUCCAAAAGGCUUCUCCAUCCCCAAGAAGGUAGAGUUUUUGUCUCUGCUCUCAUGAUAUUGUUGUAACGGUAGUACUUGCCUUUAAAAAUUUUGGACAUUAAUGAUUGAGGAUGCGUAGCUAGUUUCCAGUAUUGUUUAGCAAGUAGCGCUAGAUUCUAAGCUCGCAGACCUUUAAAGCCAAGGCCGCCCUCCUUCUUUGGUCUAGACAUGGUGUCCCAACUAAUCCACGCCAUCUUUCUUUCUGUUUCUUUUUGCCCCCACCAAAAUUGGGUGAGAAUACUGUGAAUCUCGCAAAGUAAAGUAUCUGGAAGCCUGAAGCAAGAGAGUGUGUAAAUAGAAAUGGCCUCCCUGACUGCCUUAAUUAGUACAUGUCUACCUGACGUAGAUAGUAAGU